rnacentral:rRNA from 1 species
UAUUAAAGGUAACGCCUGCCCAGUGAAACAUUUAACGGCCGCGGUAUCCUAACCGUGCAAAGGUAGCGUAAUCACUUGUCUCCUAAAUAGAGACCUGUAUGAACGGCUAAAUGAAGACUAAACUGUCUCCUUUAACUAAUCAGUAAAACUGAUCUAUCAGUACAAAAGCUGAUAUAACACCAUAAGACGAGAAGACCCUGUGGAGCUUUAAAUUUACAACCAAGUAUAAAUAACCACAUAAUACUACUAUGGCCGACAAUUUUAAGUUGGGGCGACUUCGGAACAAAACAAAACUUCCGAGCAUACAGAAAAUUAAUCUAACUGAGGCCCACAUGCCAAAGCAAAAUUGACCCAGUAAUACUGAUCAACGAACCAAGUUACCCCAGGGAUAACAGCGCUAUCUUCUUCAAGAGUCCAUAUCGACAAGAAGGUUUACGACCUCGAUGUUGGAUCAGGACACCCAAAUGGUGCAGCCGCUAUUAAAGGUUC